GAACCGGUCUCGCGCAAUGGGGCCCCGUGAACCAUGUCAGGCGGGGAACCGAGCAGCAUUCAGCGGGAUGUCCCAUGUGCCGCGAGGGUGCCGGUUCCGC
rnacentral:SRP_RNA from 1 species